rnacentral:rRNA from 1 species
UACGUAGGGUGCAAGCGUUAAUCGGAAUUACUGGGCGUAAAGCGUGCGCAGGCGGUUUUGUAAGUCUGACGUGAAAGCCCCGGGCUCAAACUGGGAAUUGCGUUGGAGACUGCAAGGCUUGAAUCUGGCAGAGGGGGGUAGAAUUCCACGUGUAGCAGUGAAAUGCGUAGAGAUGUGGAGGAACACCGAUGGCGAAGGCAGCCCCCUGGGUCAAGAUUGACGCUCAUGCACGAAAGCGUGGGGAGCAAACAGG